rnacentral:misc_RNA from 1 species
CUCAAAAAGACAAUGGACUCUGUAGGCAC